rnacentral:misc_RNA from 1 species
GAUGAAGAACGUAGCGAAAUGCGAUAAGUAAUGUGAAUUGCAGAAUUCAGUGAAUCAUCGAAUCUUUGAACGCACAUUGCGCCCGCCAGUAUUCUGGCGGGCAUGCCUGUCCGAGCGUCAUUUCAACCCUCGAACCCCUCCGGGGGGUCGGCGUUGGGGACCUCGGGAGCCCCUAAGACGGGAUCCCGGCCCCGAAAUACAGUGGCGGUCUCGCCGCAGCCUCUCCUGCGCAGUAGUUUGCACAACUCGCACCGGGAGCGCGGCGCGUCCACGUCCGGAAAACACCCAACUUCUGAAAUGUUGACCUCGGAUCAGGUAGGAAUACCCGCUGAACUUAAGCAUAUCAAUAAGCGGAGGA